rnacentral:rRNA from 1 species
CUUGAAAUUUAAAGAAUUUGGCGGUAUUUUAGUCUCGUUAGAGGAACCUGUUCUGUAAACGAUAAACCACGAAGUAUCUUACUUUAAUUUGUAAUAACAGUAUGUAUACCGCCAUUAUAAGAUAAGCUUAAAAAAGAAAAUUUAUUGUAAUAAUUUGUUAUUUAGAAUAUUAGGUCAAGGUGCAGCUAAUAUUAAAGUAGAAAUGGGUUACAAUAAUUGUAAGAGUAAUGCGGAUUUUAUUUUUAAAAUUUAAAUUAAGAUGGAUUUAAUUGUAAUUAUUAUUUAAUAUGAUUUAUUGGAAGAAGCUCUAAAAUAUGUACAUAUCGCCCGUCGCA